CCGGUUGAUCCUGCCAGAGGUUACUGCUAUCGAGGUUCGACUAAGCCAUGCGAGUCGAAUGUAGCAAUACAUGGCGUACUGCUCAGUAACACGUGGAUAACCUACCCUUAGAACGGGGGAUAAACCCGGGAAACUGGGUAUAAUACCCGAUAGAUCUCGGCUGCUGGAAUGCAUCGAGAUCCAAAGCUCCGGCGUCUAAGGAUGGAUCUGCGGCCUAUCAGGUAGUAGUGGGUGUAGCGUACCUACUAGCCUACGACGGGUACGGGUUGUGAGAGCAAGAGCCCGGAGAUGGAUUCUGAGACACGAAUCCAGGCCCUACGGGGUGCAGCAGGCGCGAAAACUUUACAAUGCUGGCAACAGCGAUAAGGGGACCUCGAGUGCCAGGUUACAAAUCUGGCUGUCGUGAUGCCUAAAAAGCAUUGCAUAGCAAGGGCCGGGCAAGACCGGUGCCAGCCGCCGCGGUAACACCGGCGGCUCGAGUGGUAACCGUUAUUAUUGGGUMUAAAGGGUCUGUAGCCGGCCGGAUAAGUSUCUUGGGAAAUCUGGCAGCUUAACUGUCAGGCUUUCAGGAGAUACUGUCUGGCUCGAGGCCGGGAGAGGUGAGAGGUACUUCAGGGGUAGGGGUGAAAUCUUGUAAUCCUUGAAGGACCACCAGUGGCGAAGGCGUCUCACCAGAACGGACCUGACGGCAAGGGACGAAAGYUAKGGGCACGAACCGGAUUAGAUACCCGGGUAGUCCUAGCCGUAAACGAUACUCGCUAGGUGUCGGCCACGGUGCGACCGUUGUCGGUGCCGUAGGGAAGCCGUGAAGCGAGCCACCUGGGAAGUACGGCCGCAAGGCUGAAACUUAAAGGAAUUGGCGGGGGAGCAC
rnacentral:rRNA from 1 species